rnacentral:sRNA from 1 species
CUCACUUUAAUUUAAUUCACACACAUUCCGACACAUGUUCCGGGGUGCCUCAACUGUCAAACUAUCUGUGCUUAAACAAAUAGAUGUUAGGGGUCGGAGUCAUGGGGAGUGUGGAGGCCUAAC